rnacentral:rRNA from 1 species
GGGUUGUGAGGUUAAGCGACUAAGCGUACACGGUGGAUGCCCUGGCAGUCAGAGGCGAUGAAGGACGUGCUAAUCUGCGAUAAGCGCCGGUAAGGUGAUAUGAACCGUUAUAACCGGCGAUUUCCGAAUGGGGAAACCCAGUGUGAUUCGUCACACUAUCAUUAACUGAAUCCAUAGGUUAAUGAGGCGAACCGGGGGAACUGAAACAUCUAAGUACCCCGAGGAAAAGAAAUCAACCGAGAUUCCCCCAGUAGCGGCGAGCGAACGGGGAGGAGCCCAGAGCCUGAAUCAGCAUGUGUGUUAGUGGAAGCGUCUGGAAAGGCGCGCGAUACAGGGUGACAGCCCCGUACACAAAAGCGCAUGUGCUGUGAGCUCGAUGAGUAGGGCGGGACACGUGGUAUCCUGUCUGAAUAUGGGGGGACCAUCCUCCAAGGCUAAAUACUCCUGACUGACCGAUAGUGAACCAGUACCGUGAGGGAAAGGCGAAAAGAACCCCGGCGAGGGGAGUGAAAAAGAACCUGAAACCGUGUACGUACAAGCAGUGGGAGCACAGGUUUACCUGUGUGACUGCGUACCUUUUGUAUAAUGGGUCAGCGACUUAUAUU